GCGGGAAUAGCUCAGCCUGGUAGAGCAUCAGCCUUCCAAGCUGAGGGUCGCGGGUUCGAAUCCCGUUUCCCGCUCCA
rnacentral:tRNA from 1 species